rnacentral:lncRNA from 1 species
GAGCAAGGAGACCUCAGACCCUUCUCCAGCCCUUGGACACAGCCUGGUGAUGCUAACAGCCUCUCGUACUCCUAGCCAGAGAUCCCAAAAAAAUGGAAUAACCCCUUCAAGGCUCUUCCGUGCUCCCCUCUUGAUGGGAAAACACUGCUUGGCUCAGUUUUGCAUCAGCACAACUCUUCCCCAGCACAUCCUUUGGGACAGGAAUGGAGCAGCUCUUUGGGAAGUCUGUGAAGCCUUUGGUUUGUCAUGGCUGCUUCUGGGCAGUGAUGGCACAGGAGGUGAGGGAAUCACUUCUCCUGAGGCAACUUCCCUGACCAGAGCUCAGGUGCUGACUGCAAGCUCACACAGGUGA